UUUAUUUUUCAAGAGUUUUUAAUUGUAUAUAUUAAUCAAAAUUUCAUAAUCAAAAUCAAACUUAAAUUAACUAAUUUAUUCAUGAAUGACCAAAAUUUAUAUAAAAUUAUUUAAUUUUUCUUUCCCUCCUCCUACGUCUCCAGACAGUUACAAACAUGGGCAACGGUGGAAAAGGCAGAGCACGCACAAAGAAUAGCUUUUGACUGGGUUUGACUCUUCCAUCUCUUUACUGUACAUGACAUUGACCGAUCUGUCUUCAGAUGGCAAGGCAAAACCCAACAGCCUGGAGCGACCAAGCCCGCUUCAUACUGAAUGGUCAACCGCAAAUAGGGCACCUCUUCUUCUCGUUCCAUGCCUUUCUCAAUCCUCUCUGGCUCUCACUCGUGGUUGGUUGGUUGGACUUUCUUGUUUCUGCUAACGAAAUGGCAAGAAAUCUUGAGGAUUCCUAACACAUAGCAUGGUGCACCAAAAAAGUGCACACGGUGGAGUUCGGAGAUGCCAAAAUGCAGGUCACCGAACAUCAAUCAGGAAUGGCUGCCAAAUAAAAAGUGUUCAAUCAUGGAGAGGGUGGGUUACUUUCCUGACAGAAAACACAUCAGUAACUGACGUGGAAUCUCAUUGGAGUGCAAUCUGUGGUAGGAAGUCAUUUCUCCCACAUCAACUCUAUGCCAUUGACUGGGUGAUAUCUAUUUCAUACUUGGUAAUUGUUAUACUUAUUUACAAGCAUUUUAUCAUAGAUAACACCAAACAAUGGAGAUGUCGCAGAUGGUCUCUAUGAUAUUUGAUUAAUUUUAUGCAAGCGACUCGAGAAUCUUCAUCUUCAACCAUGCCUGCCUUGAAGGUUACUGAUUAGAGCCUGUGAAUGACAUCUUCUCCUACACUUGGUAAUUCUCUUGGUUAAUAUGCCUAACUUAGUUUUCAUACUGAAUACUAAGUCUCCUAUUUCACAUAUCCUGAAUAUUUUCCCUUUUCUUAUUUUUUUUUUUUUAUCUUUCCUCAUGCUACAUGAAGAAAAAAGAAUUUACUACAUUUGAAGGUAAGGUAAGGCCAUGCAUGCAUAGUCUAUCUUAGGACAACUACCUAGUCUUAUGGGACUGCGCUACAAAUCUACGUUUGCUUUUUCUCAGGGCCAAUCCAGUUGUCCUGGCCAUUCCCAUGCAGGUGGUUCUAGACCAUCUACUGAGCCCCAGUUGGCACUUGCUGCAGUCCCUGGGUGAUCAACAUGGUCUUCCACUGAGUAUGACGUUUCAGGUGAGCUUGUCAUAUCCACAGUUGGAUCAGGGCCCUGAGCAGAUGUUGUAGCUCCAUCUCCAAGAAGCUGCGUCUCUCUUGUCACAGCUUCUAGUGGCCGCCUAUCAAAUGCACGAAAGCUUCCUGAUACCACAUAGACUCGACACAAGCUGAAUUCAUGCCUCAACUACAUUCAGGAAUCGGAGGACAUCCAAAUGGUGGUUAGUAAUUAAUGGAAAACGGUUGCAUGUUGCAUGACAGGUACAUCUUUUUAAUUCAAAAAACUAAAAGAUCAUAUACAUGCAUGCACACCUUUGGAGUAGCAUUACUAGAAGAUUCAUGAACUUCAAUGGCUCUGUAUUCAUUCAUCUUCCAUUUGGUUUUUCUUCCUCUUGGAGCUUUUCCCGUAUAGAACACCAUGGUUUUCUUCAAUCCAAUCACACGAUUGUCCGACGAGUAAACAUAACCAGGAGAGCCUGUGGCCUUCCAGUACCCGGAUGCUGUAGUCCGGUUAGGUCUCCCUCCCCUCGCUUCUCUCUCUUGCCUGGGUGUAAAGAAGAACCACUGCUCGGUGUCUCCCUGACAUAGUUCUCCUGAAAGCUCUGCAACAUAGUGCAAGAGACAAACUAAUUAAAGUCACCACUCAACUUCUACCGCGAGCAUUUUAGCAUUCUUCUACCUAGUUUAUCAUUAGUAAAACAAAAUAGAACAAAUUUAAGUGCGGUUUUUUACUUGGAAGAUCCCAUGGUUCGAUGUCGUAAAUGCUGAUGUCUGGAAUAACACGUUGUAGACGUUCUUGCCUCCCCCCUCCCAGCUUAUUAUGCAGGUAGAAGGAGAUCAGCUCUUCUUCUGUUGGGUAGAAGCGGUAACCUAGAGGGAGUUCCUCCAUUCUUGUUCUUGUUCUUGUUCUUGUGUCUUGUUCCCUUGUCAGCCUGAGCUGUAUAAGCAUGCAUCAUGUACUUAUAUAAUGACCUUGUUGAAGGGGAAAGAGGGAAGACGAUGGAUUUGCCGAGUGAAAUGCGAGAGAAAAAAUGCAGACUGUGGAAACUUCUACGCGGUUGCAAGGAGAAGAUUAUUUUUGUCCUUGUACAGCUGUAUAAAAUAACGUUUCGUGUCCAACAACAUUUCUUUUGAACAAGUCAGCAUGCACUUCUCUCUCCGUCCUUUGUUAUGUGCACCCGGACCCAAAUGGCCUAUUAAUGCCCGUGGCGUGGUUUCUCCGUGCUUUUUAAUUUUAUUAAUUUUAAAUUAAUUUUUUUAGUGUU